rnacentral:misc_RNA from 1 species
GAUGAAGAACGUAGCGAAAUGCGAUAAGUAAUGUGAAUUGCAGAAUUCCGUGAAUCAUCGAAUCUUUGAACGCACAUUGCGCCCUCUGGUAUUCCGGGGGGCAUGCCUGUCCGAGCGUCAUUUCAACCCUCGAACCCCUCCGGGGGGUCGGCGUUGGGGAUCGGCCCUUUACCGGCCGGCCCCGAAAUACAGUGGCGGUCUCGCCGCAGCCUCUCCUGCGCAGUAGUUUGCACACUCGCACCGGGAGCGCGGCGCAGUCCAAUGCCGUAAAACACCCAACUUUCUGAAAUGUUGACCUCGGAUCAGGUAGGAAUACCCGCUGAACUUAAGCAUAUCAAUAAGCGGAGGA